rnacentral:lncRNA from 1 species
GGGGUCAAAUGCAGUUUUUGGCUUAUAACUCAAAAACCAAAGCAUUUAGAGCAAAUCUGACAUGGGAUAAUAUUGUUUAUCAGGUCAAGAUCUAUCUGCCCUGAAAUUUUCAGAUGAAUCAGACAACCUGUUGUUGGGUUACUGCCCCUGAAUUGGUAAUUUUAAAGAAAUUUUGCUGUUUUUGGUUAUUAUCUUGAAUAUUAUUAUAGAUAGAGAUAAACUGUAAACAGCAAUAAUGUUCAGCAAAGUAAGAUUUACAAAUAAGUCAACAUGACGGAAAUGGUCAGUUGACCCCUUUAGGAGUUAUUGCCCUUUAUAGUCAAUUUUUAACCAUUUUUCGUAAAUCUUAGUAAUCUUUUACAAAAAUCUUCUCCUCUGAAACUACUGGG